GGAGAAGAGUUCGCUCCGUGUCGUGUUCUGGAGUCGUUGAGGGAGAUUGACGGAGAGCCGAAGUUAACAAGUCAACAGGUUAUGAAAAAUGCCUGGAGAAGGUUUUUAAUGUCCAAACCUCAAGAACACGGUUCUUUGUUGACUGCUGGAAAGUGCUUACCUGUCAGCGCGGCACAGUUGGCUGCCACAGCAAGUGUGACACCAGCGAGCCACGGCAGCCUGCAGCCAGGAGCCGCCAUCAGUCACUGAUGCCACACACACACCGACACAGAGACGUCUGACUAACCAGUCUCUGAGAAAGGUCCGGUGUAGUUCUCGGGACAGAGACAGGCGUAGGUGUCCGGCCCGUGCAGACAGGUGGCUCCGUGGGCACACAGGUGGUUCUCGCACACGUCCACCUUCUUCUCACAGUCCACAC